UGAGGAAUAUUGGACAAUGGGCGCAAGCCUGAUCCAGCCAUGCCGCGUGCAGGAAGAAGCAUCUAUGGUGUGUAAACUGCUUUUGUACGGGAAGAAACACUCCUACGUGUAGGAGCUUGACGGUACCGUAAGAAUAAGGAUCGGCUAGCUCCGUGCCAGCAGCCGCGGUAAUACGGAGGUACCAAGCGUUAUCCGGAAUCAUUGGGUUUAAAGGGUCCGUAGGCGGUUUAGUAAGUCAGUGGUGAAAGCCCAUCGCUCAACGAUGGAACGGCCAUUGAUACUGCUAGACUUGAAUUAUGAGGAAGUAACUAGAAUAUGUAGUGUAGCGGUGAAAUGCUUAGAUACUACAUGGAAUACCAAUUGCGAAGGCAGGUUACUACUAAUGGAUUGACGCUGAUGGGCCAAAGCGUGGGGAGCGAACA
rnacentral:rRNA from 1 species